CGUAGCAGCUCCGUGCCAAAGUUAUAAAAGCAACGGGCGUCUCGGCCACGCCCUGUGGCGCGUGGGAGUUGGAUUUGCAAGCGAGCUUAGGAGGGCAGCGGUAGUUCAGCAUUAGCAUAUAGCAUUAGCAUAUCCUAGUCUUUAGCAUAUCUUUUAGUGUUAUAAAUACUUAUUUAGUGUUAGCUUGGCUGUUGGAUAUUGUAGUUUAGUUAGUGUUUGGCUGUUAGCGUAAUUGGGAAAGUAUUUCGGUUUUAGUGUUCAUAUCGUCUUAGUAUUGGUGAGAUGGUGUAAUGUAGUAUGCUUGCGGUGACUCUGUGGGCAUUUUACCCGCGAUUCUGCACGUCUCCGUUUGAAGAGGGAGGCUGCCCACCGUGGCUCUUCCGCGAUUUAGAUGCAGCCCACCGACUCUGCUCCCCCACCACGGCGGGCUCCAGUCUGAGGCUAAAUCUACCCAAGACACUGGUUGUCAGACUGAUUUAGCUGCAAGAAUGCACUUGUCCAGGCUGAUGUGAAACCUUCCCUGUAGCAAAGCCAGUCAGAAUGGAGUUCACAGCCGCAGUGUGUCUGGUGACCCACGGUGACCAUGAUGAAAAUUCAUCUUCCAGAAAGUCCCAGAGCGUCCAGACCCCCUGAAAAGACCAAGAUGUAAGGUGUCUGCUGUUGAUUCCAGCUUCCACCUCAGUGACAGUGCAAGCUCAGUGAACUGUUCAAGGUAAUAAAUAAAAAUUAAAACAUUUCAGAUUUUUUAAGAUAUUAACAAUUAAAUAAGUAUGUGAUUACAUCAUGACGGGGGCUACUGAUUCUGCCCCUGUGACACUUGGUGGUGACGUGUGAGCUGAUUCACCUGGAAAACAACUUUUACAUUAAAUAUUUUGUUUUUGCUAUCAAAAGUAAAUUAACUAAUAACCUGCAUUAUUGCAGGCCACUCAGCAAAAUAUGGACUCUACACCAUGAGGCAUGCACACAUUAAUAUUCUAUAAGAGCACAUAAGGUGAGCAACACCACAUAUUAUUGUACACUGUCCUGAAUUUGUUUUCUUUCUGCAUCUCAUUAGCCUGGCUGAUCACCUGAUAACUCCUGUCAUCUGGUUUUGACAGCAUGAGGAUGUCCUCACACACCUGUAACCUAUCAGCUCAUCUGGCAGAAUAGAGAGAGAAGAGACAACACCACAUCUCCUGUUCCUGGAAAGCCUUCAGCCAUCCUUUGAUGACUGAGAACCUCCAUCAGCUCUGUCUCCUGUCUGCCUACAAUUAUUAUAAUAAAUAUUGUGUUUGACAAGUU